rnacentral:rRNA from 1 species
UAACACGUGGACAACCUGCCUCAAGGCUGGGGAUAACAUUUGGAAACAGAUGCUAAUACCGAAUAAAACUUAGUGUCGCAUGACACAAAGUUAAAAGGCGCUUUGGCGUCACCUAGAGAUGGAUCCGCGGUGCAUUAGUUAGUUGGUGGGGUAAAGGCCUACCAAGACAAUGAUGCAUAGCCGAGUUGAGAGACUGAUCGGCCACAUUGGGACUGAGACACGGCCCAAACUCCUACGGGAGGCUGCAGUAGGGAAUCUUCCACAAUGGGCGAAAGCCUGAUGGAGCAACGCCGCGUGUGUGAUGAAGGCUUUCGGGUCGUAAAGCACUGUUGUAUGGGAAGAACAGCUAGAAUAGGGAAUGAUUUUAGUUUGACGGUACCAUACCAGAAAGGGACGGCUAAAUACGUGCCAGCAGCCGCGGUAAUACGUAUGUCCCGAGCGUUAUCCGGAUUUAUUGGGCGUAAAGCGAGCGCAGACGGUUGAUUAAGUCUGAUGUGAAAGCCCGGAGCUCAACUCCGGAAUGGCAUUGGAAACUGGUUAACUUGAGUGCAGUAGAGGUAAGUGGAACUCCAUGUGUAGCGGUGGAAUGCGUAGAUAUAUGGAAGAACACCAGUGGCGAAGGCGGCUUACUGGACUGUAACUGACGUUGAGGCUCGAAAGUGUGGGUAGCAAACAGGAUUAGAUACCCUGGUAGUCCACACCGUAAACGAUGAACACUAGGUGUUAGGAGGUUUCCGCCUCUUAGUGCCGAAGCUAACGCAUUAAGUGUUCCGCCUGGGGAGUACGACCGCAAGGUUGAAACUCAAAGGAAUUGACGGGGACCCGCACAAGCGGUGGAGCAUGUGGUUUAAUUCGAAGCAACGCGAAGAACCUUACCAGGUCUUGACAUCCUUUGAAGCUUUUAGAGAUAGAAGUGUUCUCUUCGGAGACAAAGUGACAGGUGGUGCAUGGUCGUCGUCAGCUCGUGUCGUGAGAUGUUGGGUUAAGUCCCGCAACGAGCGCAACCCUUAUUGUUAGUUGCCAGCAUUCAGAUGGGCACUCUAGCGNNACUGCCGGUGACAANCCGGAGGAAGGCGGG